AUAACUUUCAACAACGGAUCUCUUGGCUCUCGCAUCGAUGAAGAACGCAGCGAAAUGCGAUAAGUAAUGUGAAUUGCAGAAUUCAGUGAAUCAUCGAAUCUUUGAACGCACCUUGCGCUCCUUGGUAUUCCGAGGAGCAUGCCUGUUUGAGUGUCAUA
rnacentral:rRNA from 1 species